AUAUUUUUAUAUCCAUAAGUUUGUAUAUUCUGUAGAAGUAACCAGUCGAUUCUGAAUUUCAAAAUUCCAAAUCUUUAUGAUGUUGGGAAUCCGUUGUUAUUUGAUAGACGGUUUCUUACACCGGUUCUAUGUUCGAAUGGCAAAAUGGUCUAUGGAGAGAAAGGAGUCUAUCAAACCAAUUUUCCACUGCAGGCAAAUGGUGUUCUAUAUUGACAAUCGUCAUAGAGUGGUGAUGACAAAUGAGAUCCACAGUAAAGAGCGUCAUCAAAUUAAGGUUACGAUAUAUGCAGUGACCCCAGCCGGUGCACCAUCCGGGCGAACAAAGGCCAGAGUCAGCUUGAAUGAGAACAUUAUUGACCAUGUCCAUGAAACACUGGAGGUACUCAAAAAGCUAUGGGCAAGAAGGAUAGAAUAUUCUGUUGGAAUAUUGUGUCCAAAAUGUUCUGAAUGCGACGUUAAGGCAUUGAUACCCAUUCGAGAUAUCCUUAAAUGCCCGGAAGAUAGUGCUUCUUGUGAUGAACUUUGCUCAAUAUAUGUUGGUCAUAUCCUGAAAGCAUUUAAAAAAGAUAUUGGAACAACAAGAACAACAGUAGAAUCACAAGCGGCAGGGGUGUCAACAUUAUCAAAGUACGUAACUAAUCUAUAUUUUAUUUUGAAAAGAAGGCUGUGUUCUUUAAACAUAUUUGUGGCUUACACCCCGUAAAUAAAGAUUGCAUGCCCGAUCUGGAAUUGAAAAACAAGUCAGAAAAAGGCUUGGAACCAGCGAGAUUUGAACCUGCCAGCUACUGCUCCCCACCAGGCCGUCACUGGUCCAUUACUGGGUGUAAGCCACAAAUAUGUUUAACAAUUGGAA